GGGGGGGAAUGGUGCGCGACUGGCUGAGCGACGCCGCGUGAACGAUGACGGCCUUCUGGUUGUAAAGCUCUUUUCCCUGGGGUGAAGAGCCGUGGCAUGGAAUGGGUGCGGGGUGCCGUUACCACGGGAAUAAGCCCGGCUGUUACAUGGCCGCGCCGCUAUAAUAA
rnacentral:rRNA from 1 species